UAGAGAUCCACAGCUAACCUAACCAAGGUCUCCCCGACGAUUCCUUUUUUGCCGCCGCCGCCGCCGCCGCCCUCUUCCUCGAUUCUCCAACCACCGCCGCUGCCCCCAUCCUUCCUCCUCGCCUCUAUCCACCCCCAUCCUCUGCCGUUUCAUCUUCGUCGCUAGGCUCCGACGCGGUCGUCGCCGACGCUCUCGAAGUGGUCGACACCGACGAGGACUCGAUGUCGUCGGUUUUAUGAGCCGCGGAUUUUCCUAACGCCGGAUUUGCCUCGUGCUCUGUAGGUCACCAGAGAGUCCCCGGGGAGCAGCCGUGCAGAUGGGCGAGCAGGAGGAAGGGUCGCCAACUUCAGUGGUGACCGCGUCGCAGGUCGAGGCCUUGGGGGGCGCUUCUCCAACAACUCGAGCGACAGCAGGUCGCCGGCUCCGUCGGCCGCCUACUUCCUCUACGGCUUGCUGGCCUCGCCAGUGGACAGAGGGGACGGCUGCCUCUUGCUCCUCUGAACUGCAGGGCCCGAUGGAUGGAUACAAAUGUGAGCAACCAAGCUAUCAGGUGAUCAUAGCUUAGUGUGGCUCUUUUUCUUUUUGAACUGGUCAACCGUGAUUCUAGGAGACUCACAUUCUGUUACUUUUUUAUACCUAGAGAAACUUUUUUAUUAGUUUCUCAGCACAUACUUCCCUUCUGCAUAUUUUUGGCACUUGCUAUAGCAUUUGGUUACCUCGUGGUCAUUAAGUUAUGUAUACUUUCAGUAGAAACUAAGAAAAGCACUUGUUGAACCUGUGGAAUCUCUUUUUGAUGCCACCGGCCAAACAACUUGGGUAUCAAUAGAAAACCUCUAUAAACGUGAGACAGAGGCCAUCCUGCCAGAGUUUUUUAAAGCCCUUUCUGGGUUUGAAAUGGGAAGCGAAUUCUCAGAAGGAAUGGUGUCAAAAUUAAUGGAUCAUGCUCAAAGCAUUGUGGAAAAUAAGGCUAAAGAAGAAGCUAUCAAAAUUUUGAUGCGUAUAAAGGAAAGUGGUGUUUAGUCAUGACAAGGACUCAAUGCCAAGGACCUGGACAGGAAAGGAAGAUGUCUGUGCAAUAGCAGAGGAGGCUCGAUCUGCUGUACAGGACUCUCGCCUUUUUAACAUGAUGACAAACAAUAUAUCCCUUUGUUUUGUUGUUAAGUGCUCUUACACUUACAUUGCAGGCUCUCAAACUUCUGUCUGUAUUAGCCGUCAUUCGCUGGGAUGACAAGCCAGAUAGGAUUGAAAACAUUCUGACUUCCACACUUCUAGAUGGUUCUGUUGAGUCAAAGAGUUCAAGUGCUUCUUCUGGUGACCCGCUUGCUUCAACUAGCUGGGAAGAGGUUCAUCCCAAGCAUACGCUUAUUACUCCAGCUCAGUGCAAGUCAGUGUGGAAGCAGUUCCAAUCAGAAACUGAGUUCACCAUUACACAAGUAGUAUCAACGCAGCAAGCUCACAUGCGUGGUAAUGGCAGACUGCCUCCUCCUUGGGCGAUGGUUGCUAUCACAGUUCUUGGUUUUGAUGAGAUCAUGAUGCUUCUGAGUUGUGCAGGAAUCCUAUAUACAUGUUCUUGCUAUUUGCGGGUUAUUUGCUUGUCAGGGCUUUAAUAGUGCAGUUAGAUAUUGGCUGAGAAUUCCAAAAUGGAAUGGUAAGAUGUUGAACAUUUAUUAUUAAGUUGAGCUUAAGAAUUAUAGUACUCCCAUUAGGUAGUCAAUUCAGGACCAGAUGGGUAUGACUGCAGUUGGGUUUGUUUUGGCAUCUCUUUCCAACAGGUAGUCAUGCUAAUUAAAUUCAGAAAUGUGUUGGAUGUCUCUAAUCUUUGCAGUUUCAUGGUGUAGGACAAAAAAAUGGCAUUAGCCCAACAAAAACUGUGAUCUGUCUCACAAUUUCUUCUAAUUCUAAAGUAGCACCGAAUCGAAAGGGAGAUUCCGGCAACUUUGUGGGUGUCUGGGUGUGUAUUUGUAUAAACUGUCAACUGAAAAUGGCUUUGGUUCCUUUCAAAAAAGACUGAAAAUAUCUCACUAGAUAGUAAUGUUUAUACUUGUGGUGGACUAUCAAUCCUUACAGUUAGAUGAACAAAUUCAUAUGUUGAAGAAAAAGUGAUAUUGGUAACCAUGUGACAUAUAUGCAAAUCCAAGUUGGCAUAAUGGAAUAUAGAUGGACACAAUAUUAUCCAUCUCUAUUUAUCUUGUCAUAAAAAUGAAAUUAUUUGCUAGCUAGCUAUUUCUUUUACUGCCAAUUUUCUUUGCUUUUAUCUUAUCAUUUUGGGAAUAUUACUACUACAUGCCAAAAGAAUAUGCAGUAUGCAAGUUUUACAUGUAGAUCUUGCUGAUGUUAUAUCAUGCAUUUAUGUGUUUUAGUUGUGAUGAAUAUCAGAUGAUCAUAACAGAUUUCAUAAGAAACUCAUUGUUGCUGCAUAUAGCAUGUGGUUCUCCUGAUGUGUUUGCUCUUAAAAUUAAUCCAUAUGGUUGACUUACAUUACAAUUGUUUUUCUUAGGAAUUGCUGUGAUCAAUUGAUAAUCGAGUUUGGCUCAUUGUUUGAUCUGCUCAGCAUAUCGGCUCUGCGACUAAGGUGCACUUUGCACUUUCUUCUAUGUAGGUUCAGUUACUUGUGCUUGGAUUUUGUAUGUUUAUUCACACUUCUUUUCCUUGCGCCGUUUUUGAUAUUUGUGCGUGUCAAGAAACAGGGAACAUGAAUUCCAUUGAUCCUGAUGUGGAUCAUGUUGCUGCACGUAGUCGAUCUGUUUCUCGACACCGUAACAGAGUAGCAGCACGUCUCGCCCUGUUCCAAAGUGCGAUACGGUUUGCCAUGAUCGUAGGUUACUCUUGUCCUUAGAAUAUUACGUUGUGUGUGAUGUGAAUUUAUGUGUAAAUCACCUGUUUAGGCGCUUAGAAUUUUGUACCUGUCUCAUCAUCCUCUGGUGCAAACAGUCCAUUUGUAGGCGGUGGUUUCUUUCUGGUUGUGUCGCAUACAUACAGCCAGUUAAGACGGCGUCAGCGAAUGCAAAAGAGAAAAAUGCAUGUAUGGCGUCAGACAGGUUACCCCUACCAGACUGCAUCUACCACACACUCUGUUUUCUUCUGAUUACACAGAGUUCUUAAAAGGUAUCUUUGUGAUCAAAGGUCAUAUGCCUUAGGAGUAAAAACUGUAGGGUAAUGCACUUUUUUCAUAUUGAGUUGUUUCUUGAACACAAAUCCUUGCGAGAGGGAGAGUUUCUAUUGCGGGCAAGGAAUCAGAUCUUCAUGUGACCACACAUUCAUUCAAACAAGGUUCGUUGCGGGGCAGUGAAGAACUGAAAUAGCUGAAGAGAACAUUAGGAAGUGAUGCUAGAAGCUUGCUUGUGUGCUACCUGUUGUUGUGAUUCGAAAGAAUUUGCAUGUUCUCACUGAAUGGAAAAAAGAGGCACUAUGGUGAGAGUUGACUAAAUAUAGAGUUUUGAAUCCCUUUACCAUAUUA